CCUGGGACUCCCUGGUGUAUGGAGUGUUUCAGGCCCUGGAGGAGUUGAGCAAGCUGAGGCCGCCUCUGAGCAGGAAGGAAAAUCGCAACCUGCUGGCAGUGUGCUGCCAGAGUGUUUUGUCCCAUCCUUCCAAGGAGCGGAUGAAAAAGGGAAGGAAGAGCGUGAGGGCGGCCGUGAACAUGGAGGUACCCACCGGCCAGUGCCUGCCCACCUCUGGGUCAGGACCCCACCUCAGCACGCCCUGGCAGCCCCCAUGAUGCAUAACCUCAGCUCUCCUUUGCUGCUUUUAGCUUCUGCACAGGAGAGGCAUGGAAGAUCUGGGCCACCUGAUAGAAACCCUUCUGGAGGCUGAGGCGACCUCUGCCUGCUUUGACGACGUGGUCCACAGAGGAUGUCCCUGCAAGCAGUUGGGCUCCCUGGUGGGACUGCUG